GUUCCCCCCGUCCCCGCCCCGUUCCCCGGACUUCUGCCUGCCACCGCUCUGGGACCUGUCUCUCUUACUACUCCUCUGCCUGGGCCCGGACUUAGGGCGGAGGAGACCUGGGCAAUGGCGAGGCUUCCAGCUCAGCGCAGCCCACCGACCACCCGCCGCAGUCCCCACGUCUCUGCUCGGGGACUGAGGCCGAGCUGUUCCCCACAGGCGUGUGUCACGCCUUUGGCAGCCCCGGCGCGUGGAGACAAAUCUACGCUCUGUCUGUUUGGGUGUCAGGAAAACAGGGUCCUAUUACCUCUCUGAAGAGGAUUGUGUUUCCUGGAGGUGGGCUUUCAACUGUGGGUUGGGAACAGUGGAUGAGAGAGAAACUAGAUCUGUCUCUUGCUGGACCUCAAAAGACUCUGGGGCAACUGAACUCCAGGCAGGAAGCCCAAGAUCACAGGCACUUUUCGUUCAAGGAUCCCAAGUGCUCCCUGAAACAAGCUGGCAAACCAAGCAACAUCCCCUCUCCAACCUAUUCUGUCCCUAACCCCACAUCCCAGGUACCAUCAUAGAAGGACGUGGCCUUUAUACUUUGGAAGAAAUCCUGAGAAGUCUCCUGUUCUUCGCUUGGUCUUUCUCCCGUGUCAUUCCCUUCUGUGCCCCUCGUUUGUCUGUGAAGUGGAGUUAAACACAAUAGCAGGGUCUUAGCUGAGCCUUGGUGACUUUGUUCCCUCCCAGGGUGGAUCAGAGGGCAGGAACAGUAUGGUGAAGCCAGCCUGGAGUUGGCACCAGAAGAUGAUGGAUUGAAAGGCUCUAAAUGGGAACCCAUUGGUAGAACCUUAAGUGUUCUUUGCCUCAAAAACAAACAAAAGAAACAAAGCAAACAAAACAGACUUCCAGAAAUCAAGUGGGAUACCAGCUCCAACUAUUCUUUUUUUAAAUUGUUAAUUUAAAAAAUUUAUUUAAUUGUAGUUGAUGAACAAUAGUAUGUAAGUUACAGGUAUACAAUAUACUGAUGCACAACGUAUAAAGGUU
rnacentral:lncRNA from 1 species